GACGAACGCUGGCGGCGUGCCUAAUACAUGCAAGUCGAGCGAAGUUUUUCUGGUGCUUGCACUAGAAAAACUUAGCGGCGCACGGGUGAGUAACACGUAAAGAACCUGCCUCAUAGACUGGGACAACUAUUGGAAACGAUAGCUAAUACCGGAUAACAGUAUUUCUCGCAUGAGAGAUAUUUAAAAGUUGGUUAUGCUAACACUAUGAGAUGGCUUUGCGGUGCAUUAGCUAGUUGGCGGGGUAAAGGCCCACCAAGGCGACGAUGCAUAGCCGACCUGAGAGGGUGAUCGGCCACACUGGGACUGAGACACGGCCCAGACUCCUACGGGAGGCAGCAGUAGGGAAUCUUCCGCAAUGGGCGAAAGCCUGACGGAGCAACGCCGCGUGAGUGAAGAAGGAUUUCGGUUCGUAAAGCUCUGUUGUUAGGGAAGAAUGGAUAUGUAGUAACUAUACAUGUAAGAGACGGUACCUAACCAGAAAGCCACGGCUAACUACGUG
rnacentral:rRNA from 1 species